UGUCUCAAAUUCUUGUCUCUGAUAAACGCAGAAUGUGAAAGAGCCUAAACAAAUGGCCGCAUAGACUGCUGAAGCUAGGAUCUGCAACAGCUACAGUUCUGGAUGUUAAGAUAUUGCAAAAGGCACUGGACAGUCUUGCUGACAGUGGAAAAAUAUCAUUCAAGGAGUAUGGCAAACAAAAGAUAUAUCUUGCUCGGCAAGAUCAGUUUGAUAUUCCAGAUAAUGAAG